ACUGGUCAAGGAUGAAUCUCAAUGGUGGACAUGAUUUGGAUGACACUUGCGGAUAUGGGACUGAGACCAGGC